rnacentral:rRNA from 1 species
CCUACGGGAGGCAGCAGUGAGGAAUAUUGGUCAAUGGUCGGGAGACUGAACCAGCCAAGUAGCGUGAAGGAUGACGGCCCUAUGGGUUGUAAACUGCUUUUAUGGGGGAAUAAAGUGCGGCACGUGUGCGGUUUUGUAGGUACCGGGUGAAUAAGGAUCGGCUAACUCCGUGCCAGCAGCCGCGGUAAUACGGAGGGUGCGAGCGUUAUCCGGAUUUAUUGGGUUUAAAUGGAGCGUAGGCGGAUGUUUAAGGCAGCGGUAAAAGUGCGGGGUCAAACCUCGUAGAGCCGUUGAUACUGGGUGCCUUGAGUGCGCGGGAGGUACGCGGAAUGCGUGGUGUAGCGGUGAAAUGCAUAGAUAUCACGAAGAACUCCGAUUGCGAAGGCAGCAUACCGGAGCGCAACUGACGCUGAAGCACGAAGGCGUGGGUAUCGAACAGGAUUAGAUACCCGUGUAGUC